rnacentral:lncRNA from 1 species
CGAGAUUUCAACAUCUCAAACAAUAGAGAAACCCACCAACAACUCGACACAUCUCCGGCUGAUAAACCCAUUAACAUAUACUCCACAUCUCCGGUCGAACAUGAAGUGGGAAUCUCCCUAGCCGUCUAUAGUCAAACAGUGAAAUCGAUGAAGGGAAACCCAAACAGAAGGUGAAUCGACGUUGCAAUCUAAACCCAAGGUGAAAUCGACGGUCACAACUCCUCCAAUUGCGGAACAUCAGCUGAAAACAAUUUUAUGAGCAUCUCCUUCAGUUGUAGAAUCUGCAGCAAACGUUCGGUAAGUGGGUAUUUUCAAUCUUCAUGCAAAACCUGGAUCUUCUGUCAAUUCGUAUUCUUCUAUGAAACAUAUCAACGAGAUUGUUCCUUCUUUGUUUUCUCAAAAUUUACAGCAAAAUUUAUGUAGAAUUUUGAACUCUGGCUGCCAAACAUCUAGCAAUUUAUUAAUCUCGACAUGAACUUCUAAGCUUUACUCUCUCUGGUAUUUUAUUCCACCAACAAAUAAUAUAAUGAACAAAAGAUAAAAGUCAAAAAACAUGCAAAUUUAAGUGGUUCUGCAUUAACAGAGUUGAUGACAAAUUGAUGAAUUUCAUUAAUAAAGAGACAUUGUAGGGUCACAGAGAAUAGGCAGCAUGUAUAACAACAAACAGUCAUCUUCCAAAUAUUUUUCAAACAAACAUUUUGUAGGGUCCUAGAGAAUGGGCAGUAUGUUUAAAUUUCUGUACCAAUUGGUACAAACCCAUUUACUCUUAUAUGAAGUAAUAGGUUAAUUGCAUGCUUAGAUGUGAAGUGAACAUUUUUAUUGUGGCAGGAAAGGAGAUUAUGGAAGACGGCAAUGGAGAUUCGUUGUUGGAAUGUGAUAAUGAGAAUGUUGUAGAGAAUUUGAACACAUUGGAUAGCGAAAAUAUAGGAGGAGAUGAUGUGACCGUAGCUGUGGUGGGUAUGAUGUUCAACGAUGAGAAAGAAAUGUUUGAGUUUUAUAAAAGAUAUGCUUAUGCCGUAGGAUUUCUGGUGAGAAAAAGGAAUUCCAAAAAAGGGGAAGAUGGAGUUAUGAGAUAUGUGACGUUCACAUGGAGUCAUGAAGGUCGAAGAAGUUAUGCCACAAGCGGAUCCUUGAAGCCUCAACCAACAAGUCAAACAGACUGUAAAGCAAGGAUAUCUGCAUCUUUAGAUAUUCUUGGAGUUUGGAGAAUUAAUAAAGUACACCUCGAUCACAACCAUAAAACGAGUCUUUCGAAGUCUAGGUUAUAUUGAUGCAACCGAAAAUUGAGUGCAAAUUUGAAAAUGAAGCUUGAAGUGAACGAUAUGGCAAGCAUUUCGUUGCACAAGAUUUAUAACUCCGCAGUUGUGGAAGCUGGUGGAUACGAGAAUACAACUUUUGUGGAAAAGGAUUGUCGGAACGACGUGGAACAAGUCAGACGAUUACGACUUGGAAAAGGAGACGCCCUCGCAAUACAGGCAUACUUUUCAAAGAUGCAAGCACGGUGCUCGGAAUUUUUCUUUAGUAUGGACUUUGAUGAGGAGUGUCGGCUAAAGAAUGUUUUUUGGGCAGAUCACAGAUGUAGGCAGUCUUACAAGGAAUUCGGUGAUGUCGUCACUUUCGAUACUACCUAUUUGACUAAUAAGUACGACAUGCCGUUUGCCCCUUUUGUUGGGGUGAAUCAUCAUGGACAGUCCAUAUUAUUGGGCUGCGGACUGUUAUCGAAUGAGGACACUGGGACUUUUGUGUGGUUGUUUAGAAUAUGGUUUGAGUGUAUGCAUGGACAAGCUCCUAAUGCAAUUUUUACUGAUCAAGAUCGGGCAAUGCAAAAUGCAGUUGAUAUUGUUUUUUUGAACACGAAGCAUAGAUGGUGUCUGUGGCACAUUAUGAAGAAGUUGUCAGAAAAGUUCGGAUAUCACAUUCAGAAGAGCUCGAUAUUUUCUGCAAUUCAUGAAUUGGUGUAUGAUUCCGACAAUGGUCAAGAAUUCGAAGAAGGUUGGAGGUUGAUGCUCGAAACAUACGAGUUACAUGAUAAUGAUUGGUUAGCUAGGUUGUAUGAGAACAGAGCUCGUUGGGUGCCUUGUUUGUUGAAACCCACCUUCUGGGCAAGCAUGUCUACUUCACAACAAAGUGAGAGUAUGAAUGCAUUUUUGAUGGUUAUGUGCAUUCGAAGACCUCACUGAAGCAGUUCGUCGAGUAGUACGAGAGAGCACUACGAAAUAAGGUAGAGAAGGAGUUCCGGACUGAUUUCAAAUCGUAUUCUCAAAUGGUACCAUGUGCGACGCUUUUCGAAAUGGAAAAGCAAUUUCAAGCAGCUUAUACCAUUUCAAAGUUCAAAGAAGUUCAGGGUGAGAUCACUGGGAAGGUAUAUUGCGACGUUAUAUCUGAAAGUGCAAAUGAUUACUAAUGGUCGACUUAUGAUGUUCAUGAGCAUGUCGCACUUCAUGAUCACCAGAAGAUGAAAACUUUUACCAUGUCAUUUCGGAGGGAUACGUGCGAAUUGAUUUGUAGCUGCCACCUAUUCGAAUUUUGGGGAAUCAUUUGUAGGCAUGCGAUUGCGGUCUUGUUUCGUAAUAAAAUUUUCUCGAUGCCUCAUCGGUAUAUAAUAAAGAGAUGGAGAAGAGAUGUCAGUAGAGCACACACUAGGAUCGCAGUAAACUACGAUGGACUGGCAAGUACUCUUGGACAGCUUAGGUAUGACGAAAUGUGUCAGGCUUUUUCGGAGGUGGCGGACCUUGCAGCAGACGAUGAGGGACGGGCAUGUAGUGUAAUGGAGUGGAUAAGAUCGCAAGCAAACGAAUUGUGGAUUACAAAGUCAAGUAUAGGGAGCACUGGUCAGAUCCAAAUGGCAAGUAGCAAUGCGCACCUAUUAGAUCCAGCAUCGUGUAAACGAAAGGGAGCACCGAGGAAAUUUCGGAGGAAAAGCCCAUUGGAGGCCAGCUCAAAUAGAUCAAAGGUAAUUUCUUACUAUUAUUAGCUUCGUAGAGUUGGCAUUUUGAAACUAAUAAUUGUUUUACUUGUCCAACGUGUAGGCCUCCGCAUCAUUGAGCAAAGGAAAAAGACCUACAGUUCGAUGUAGUAAUACAGAAGAGACGUCAAUCGAUGUUCAGGCAGCUCAACUUCCACAACGUUCUAUGCCGACGCCAUUGCAAUGUUUCAUUCUGCCGACGCCCCCAAAUGUUGCACUUAAUGCUCAAGGUAUGCCUCUCCAUUUAGCAUUGAAAGGUAUGAUUUUCAUUACAUGUGACUAUGUUUUCCAAUGGUAUGAUUUCCAUUUAGCAUUGAAUAUGUGCCUUUUGUUUAUCUUAGUUAUUGAAUGUCUGUCUUAGGUUUUUGGGGUCCAAAGAAAAAAAACAAUUAUUAAUUAAUGUCACUCUUUUGGAGCAUAUGAUAUUUUAA